UGUGUCGUCGUUGUACGACGUUCGCCGGUUUUAAAGUUUGUUCCUCGUUUAGUGAUGGCAGUCGCUGCUCACCAAGGUUAUUUCUUAAUUCGAAUUUGGAGUGUAAAACAUCCACUGAUGCAUAUUGCGGUGGAAAAUACACUCGAGAAUCGCCUGCCCCGACAUCAACCAAAAGAACACCUACCUGUCUGGUGGAGAGCAGCUACGUUUUGAUGGGAUGCGAUAUCUUUGUCCCUUAUCUUGCAAUCAUUUCUUGCGCCCGGACAAUAUUUUCUAACUAAUACAAAUAAUGCGCACAAGGAAGGAGACAAAAAAUACUUCCCGUCUUAUAAACCACGAACGCAUUUAUUUAUUUCACUUAUAAUUAGAAUGGUAUAUAUUAAGGGCCCUUUGAUAAUUAAUUUGAUGAAUGCUUGUGGAAUAACAUGCAGUGUAAACUCUUUAUAACGAUUCUUACUAAAAUUAGUUGAUAUAGGACGGAAUUUGCCACAAAAUGUCUACAUAUUUCUAGGUCAUUAUAAAACAAUGUUAUCAAGAGUUUACAUUGUAUUGCACAUUUAAUCGCCUCACGACUUUUACUGUAUCGCAUUAUUGCUUGUCGCGCUAAUGGGGCGAGUUUGCGUUUCAUUUGUUGGUAGUAAUUCGGAUAAGGGUAUUUGGUAGUUGCCGCACUGUUGUCGUCUAGCUUUGACUCGCGAAGGGGGCGUCUCUAGAGUUGUCAAAUUAAACUCUGUGGGGUUUUAUUAGUUUGUUGCAAGAAUUCGACUUGUAACCCGCGAAAAUUUACAUAAAGGGUAACUUUUUCACACUUUUCCGUGAAAUAUUUGUAUAUUUUCGGGUUUACACGAAAUCUAAGCGGCUCAGUAACUUCACCGUGGCGUAGAAAGAUGCAGAAUUAAAUUUUCCGUUGGGUUGUAUUUUUUAGCGGUAGAAGUGACUCGAUUCUGGGCACCUUACGAAGCUAGCGGUGGAAGUGACUCGUGUUCAGCGCACCGUAUGAAAGUAGCGGUAGAAGUCACCCGAUUCUGGGCAUCUUACGAAGCUAGCGGUAGAAGUGACUCGAUUCAGGGCACCAUAGGAAACUAGCGGUAGCAGUGACUCGUGUUCAGGGCACCGUAUGAACCCGGUAAAAAUUUACAUAAAAGGGUAAUUUUUUCACUCCAUUUCGUGAAAUAUUUGUAUAUUACCGGGUUUGCACGCGAUCUAGGCGGCGAAAUAACUUCAGCGUCUAGAGAUGCGCAAUAAAAUUCUCCGUCGGGUGGUAUUUGUUUGUUGCAGGAAUUCGGCCUACAACCCGCGAAAAUUUGCAAAUAAGUGUAAAUUUUCAACCCUUUUACGUGAAAUAUUUGUGUUUUUUCAGGUUUGCUCGCGAUCUAGGCGGCUCACUAUCUUCAGCGUGGCGUUUAGAGAUGCGGUAUUAAAUUCUCCGUCGGGUUGUAUUUGUUUGUUGCAGGAAUUCGACCUGCAACCCGCGAAAAUUUGCAUGCAAAUGUGAUUUUUAUCAACCUUUCUCGUGAAUCGUUUGCAUUUUUUCGUGUUUGCGCGGGAUCUAGGCGGCUCACUAACGUCAGCGCGGCGUCUGGAGAUGCGGAAUUAAAUUUUCCGUCGGGUUAUAUUUGUUUGUUGCAGGAAUACGACCUGCAACCCGCGAAAAUUUGAAUAAAACUGCGAUUUUUUCACCUUUUAUCGUGAAAUGUUUGUAAUUUUUCGGGUUUGCACGCGAUCUUGGCGGAUCAUUAACUUUAGCGCGGCGUCUAGAGAUGCGGAAUUAAAUUUUCCGUCGGGUGGUAUAUGUUUGUUGCUGGAAUUCCGCCUGCAACCCGCGAAAAUUUGCAUAAAAUUGCGAUUUUCUUACCUUUUAUCGUGAAAUGUUUUUUUUUUUUUCGAGUUUGCACACGAUCUUGGCGUUUCAUUAACUUUAGCGCGACGUCUUGAGAUGCGGAAUUAAAUUCUCCGGCUCGUGGUAUAUGAUUGUUGCAGGAAUUCGACCUGCAACUCGCGAAAAUUUGCUUAAAAUUGUGAUUUUUCAUUGUUUUUUCGGGUUUGCGCGCUGUCUCGUCGUCUCAGUAACAUAAGCGUGGCGUUAAAUGAUGCGGAAUUAACUUCUCCGUCGGGUUGUCAUUGUUUAUUAUAAAAGCUUAGGCAGCAGUGUGCGCAUAGAUACAUUUUGUGUAUGUGCGUGUGAUCCUGUAUUCUACAUUUCCUUUUUUUUGCCUUCUUUGUGUUAUUCAUGUUGAAGUUGAAUUCUUGUUUAAUUGUGUAUGAGACUUGUGUUGUUUUCCCUAUGUACUAAUGUGUCUGUUACUUCUGUUUAUGUUUGCUUGCACCUUGAGUUGUGUGUUUUAAACGAUUUAUAAUGAAUAUCAAUAUGAUUAUUGUAAAAAAAGAACGAUUAUGAUGAAGAAAUUGGCUGCGAUUCUUGCGGCGAAAACAAAAACCCUCAAUACAACUUUUACAGAUAUAAAUUCCCAUUGAUUGUUUCUAUGUUUCCUUCUAUAUACGCACUUACCGGUAGAAUCCAUCAUGUACGCAUGCGCUGCAUACUUUACUUUGCUUGCGCACUCAAUAUUGUCAUCUGUCCUUGGCUCCGGCAGUGUUAAUUGUGCAGUCUUAGCGCAUAUCCGUGGUAUUACAUCUCGUGUUUUUAAAGUGCAAUAUUCAAUUGGCAAUCAACUGCAGUUAAUGACAAAUGAGUUACGAUUAAUUGUUUGAAAUUUUCAUAAAUGCGCUAAUUUAUUGUCUUCUUGUAAGUUUCUUCAGGCGGAUAUUACAAUGUGGAUGCAACAUUUGUUGAAGACUAUUGUGAUGAGAAAAUUUACAUAACGUCAAGGAGUUGAACGUGAUCUCGGUGCACGAGAUCGUGCAAUCGUGCCCGCAUUCAAUUGUGAGUAUUGAAAUUCUUAUCAUUUUUAUAUCUGCUCCGUUCACGUAGCCUGCUAUAUCUUUUCCUUGUUUAGUCGAUCGUGCGAUGUUGUUCGGUAUACACGUGUUUGGAUCACAAGUCGAUCUUCGUAACUAGUUUGCGCGUUUCUUGUGAUUUUAAGUCGAUAGUUGAAUUAGAAUCGAUCAGCAAAGAUAACAUUUAGAAUUAACGGGCUAGUGCGGCGUGCAGUUAAUGGAUUAUCGCGCGUGGAAGCCAGAAUUGUGCAGUUUUACAUUGUGCGCACGUUUUUGCCGUCGGCCGUCGGAUAUCGACACGAAGAAUUCUUACUGGAUUUAUAUAUUUUAGUACAUUUAUUAAAUAAUUCAAACGUGGAAAUAUUUUCGAUUGUUUCCCGUGUGGAAUGAAGUCCGUAAAAUCUAAUCCGUACCAGUUUGUGAAGAUUAAACAUUCAAGUAAGUGUAACUUGUAACUUUAGUCACUUUUGUAAGUAACGUUGAACACAUGUACUUAAAUUUGUGUAUGUACUGUCUUGAUUAAAUGAGUUUGAAUAAAAUAUAAUUUAAUAGUA